UGGUUGAAAACAUGGAAAUUUUCAUGUCACGAGCUCAGAGCUCACCACUUAUCCAAAAAGAAGCCACUUUGUUUGUGUGCUUUACUCCAGGCCAGGUUUGAUAAGGCUGCUGUGAGGUUGUGCUGACUCACCGUGAGCUAAGGUAAAACAGGCACUGACAUGGUACUGUAAACACACACCACUCAACAACAGGGACUUUUGAGUAAAAUGCAUGUUUUGGGGGUUCCCCACCACCACCUUAAACUUCACCUAUCACCACAGCAAUCACAAAACCCUCCUGAGCACUAUGAGCUUUAACACAGCUGAGCACUCCAAAGGAUUUCAUGGAAGUUAUUUGGUGAAGAAGUGACAGAAGGCAACACCAGGUACUCCGGAGAUCACCUUUUAGUGUUUUUCUAACACAACAGGACAGCAAUGAGCACCAAAACUCUGACCAGUGUGCAACACCUCUGCAUAAGCAAGGGUCAUGCAUUACAUUAUUCACAGGGGUAAUCCUAUAGAAUUAAGCCACAAGUACUCUCUCAGAAGACCGAAUUUUGAAGCAGAUGGCCAGGACAGGAUCUGUGUGCUGCUUGUUCCUGGAAACAAGAGCUGACUCCCUUCUCACCUUGGAGCCUCCUGCACCAACAUCCCACACAAACCCUUCAGUCCUCUCCCAAACAUCAGGGACCUGUAUUCCAGGCAGAGCUCAAUUGCCCCAUUUGGCAUUACUAAGAGCUCCAAACCCUCCCAGGUGUUUUACAACAAACGAGGCUGCGAUUUCCUUGCAGCUACUGAGUGACUUGAAAUUCAGCAGCAUGAUGUGCUUGCAUCCACCCAACAGCCUCCAAACACUCUUUAUGGCUGUCAGUGAUCCAGCCACCAAGAGAAAACAUCACCUCAAUACUCAGAUCCUUCUAAUUCCAAAGCACCAGAAGUCGGGAGGACUGGAAUCAUGACCCUCAACAGCAUCAUAACAUUUAGGGCCCUGACAUGAAUUUUACUAUCAAAUAAGUAACCAAGGGAGGUUUGCUGGGAGCAGACCCGGAUGGAAGCAGCAUCAGCCUCAAGUGCUUCCACCCACAGACUCCCACCUAACGCUCGUCAGGCAGCUCCAAGCACUCCGAGUUUCCAAGAUGUCAUCUGGAACAUCAAAUACAGUUCUAAGCACGACCCUGUACAACAGCAGCAAUUCCUGUUGCUCACUAGCAAGUCAUCCCUGUUUUGGACAACAUUUUUGGAACGUGCUGCCCACAGUACAUUGAAUUUCCUAAGUUAUGCCUGGAAAUCAGGAUGUUUUGUCCCAGUAAGUGGACACUGUUUAAUAAGACCCCUUCUGCAACAAUGGGUUUGCACUCGCUGUGACAGAGCUCCAUUUAACCAGGGCUGUGGAAUUCUGGGGGAUAUCUGCACUGCCUCAACUCUGCUGGCCUCUGGAAAAAGCCAUUCCUCAACAAACAUAGCUUUGUAACUUUGGAGAGGCCUGGGUUUGGGCUUAUUUUAAUGGCACAGCUUUUAUCCAGUAAGGACCUGACCUUCACCAUGUAAAUGAGAAACCUGUAUUUGCUGCAAAUGCUCUGAUGUUCCACAUCCCCUGUUCUGCUCCGAGAAACCUUAUUUAAAGCCUUCAGUAAAAAGAAAAGGUAUUUUGGGGCUAGACUAACUUUUGUUGGAUCCAGUGAUGUCACCUCCUUCCAGAUAAAGCCCAGGUUUGAAGCUCACCAUGCUCAUGAUCACAUGGCAGGUCAGGCACAACACCCAGUCACAUCCAGGAUCCUGAUCCCUGCUGUGGGAUGGGGAAAGGAAACAAGAGUCCCAACUGCCUUUGUGCCACCUCAGAGCUUCGCCCCAGUAUUUUCAAUAUCUCACCAUUACAAAGUCCAAAAAGUAUGAAUAUGGUGACACCACACUGAUGUCACCAGAAUGCUCCAGAAGAAGGGGAGCAAAAAGGGGAAAUGAAUCCAACCUGGAAAUACUGGAACUGCACAAGCUUGCAACAAGGCAAGGAGAACACUGGGCCAAGCCAGGCUACAGAGGCACAUCAUGUGCUCUACUCAGAGCAGAAAUAAAUAUGCCAUUCUAAACAUUUUUUGAGUUUAUUUUCAGAAAAAUCUAGAGCAAAGAUGGAAAUAGCAAUCUGAUUAAAAUAAUAAAAAAAAAGGAGUUACGAGUGGCAGCAAAUUAUCUGGACAAAAGUUCAGGGAGGAAG